ACGACCAUAGACUGGUGAGAACUGGGCAUCCCGUCCGCUCUGCCAUACACAAGAACCAGAUCGGCAGAUUAGUAGUUGGGUGGGUGACCACCAGAUACCUUCUGUUGUAUGUU
rnacentral:rRNA from 1 species